GACGAACGCUGGCGGCGUGCUUAACACAUGCAAGUCGAACGGAAAGGCCCUGCUUUUGUGGGGUGCUCGAGUGGCGAACGGGUGAGUAACACGUGAGUAACCUGCCCUUGACUUUGGGAUAACUUCAGGAAACUGGGGCUAAUACCGGAUAGGAGCUCCUGCUGCAUGGUGGGGGUUGGAAAGUUUCGGCGGUUGGGGAUGGACUCGCGGCUUAUCAGCUUGUUGGUGGGGUAGUGGCUUACCAAGGCUUUGACGGGUAGCCGGCCUGAGAGGGUGACCGGCCACAUUGGGACUGAGAUACGGCCCAGACUCCUACGGGAGGCAGCAGUGGGGAAUAUUGCACAAUGGGCGGAGGCCUGAUGCAGCAACGCCGCGUGCGGGAUGACGGCCUUCGGGUUGUAAACCGCUUUCGCCUGUGACGAAGCGUGAGUGACGGUAAUGGGUAAAGAAACACCGGCUAACUACGUG
rnacentral:rRNA from 1 species